ensembl:processed_transcript Gm16759 predicted gene, 16759
UUAAACUUCAGAGCCACUUGGACUGGGUUUAUAGCACAAAGCUGUCCUGUGAUCAGAGGUCAGGAGAGGGCUUUGGAUCCACUGGAACUGAACUGAUACAUGGUUCUGAGCCUUGAUAUGGGUGCUGGGAACUGAACGUGGAUCCUCUACAAGAACAAGUGAGCUUAACUGCCAAGCCAACUCUCCAGCACACAAAACUAGUUCCCUUAACCUUUGUGUUUAUUCGUACAUGACCAUCAUAUACGUCCAGACCAGUACAAAGCUACAAUCUAUUUUAUUAAAAAAAAAAAACUAACUUGUAAGAAACUCAACUGUACACACCCAUGGCACACACAUGUGCACACAUUACUCUCCUGGUGGGUUAAUGCUUUGUCAUUUGGUAUCUAACUUAAUAAACACGUUCUUCUUUGCUGCACUUU